AAACUUGAGAGUUUGAUCAUGGCUCAGAACGUACGCUGGCGGCACGCCUAACACAUGCAAGUCGAACGAAGUAGCAAUACUUAGUGGCAGACGGGUGAGUAACAUGUAGGUAUCUGCCCUAUGGCCUGGAAUAACACGAGGAAACUUGUGCUAAUACCGGAUAAGUCUUUACGGAGAAAGCUUUAUGCACCAUUGGAUGAGCCUGCACUUGAUUAGUUUGUUGGUGGGGUAAUGGCCUACCAAGACUGUGAUCAAUAGCUGAUUUGAGAGGAUGAUCAGCCACAUUGGGACUGAGACACGGCCCAAACUCCUACGGGAGGCAGCAGUGGGGAAUCUUGCACAAUGGAGGAAACUCUGAUGCAGCGAUGCCGCGUGAGUGAAGAAGGCCUUUGGGUUGUAAAGCUCUUUCGUCGGGGAAGAAAAUGACUGUACCCGAAUAAGAAGGUCCGGCUAACUUCGUGCCAGCAGCCGCGGUAAUACGAAGGGACCUAGCGUAGUUCGGAAUUACUGGGCUUAAAGAGUUCGUAGGUGGUUGAAAAAGUUGGUGGUGAAAUCCCAGAGCUUAACUCUGGAACUGCCAUCAAAACUUUUCAGCUAGAGUUUGAUAGAGGAAAGCAGAAUUUCUAGUGUAGAGGUGAAAUUCGUAGAUAUUAGAAAGAAUACCAAUUGCGAAGGCAGCUUUCUGGAUCAUUACUGACACUGAGGAACGAAAGCAUGGGUAGCGAAGAGGAUUAGAUACCCUCGUAGUCCAUGCCGUAAACGAUGUGUGUUAGACGUUGGAAAUUUAUUUUCAGUGUCGCAGCAAAAGCGAUAAACACACCGCCUGGGGAGUACGACCGCAAGGUUAAAACUCAAAUGAAUUGACGGGGACCCGCACAAGUAGUGGAGCAUGUGGUUUAAUUCGAAGAUACGCGCAGAACCUUACCAACACUUGACAUGUUCGUCGCGACUCUAAGAGAUUAGAGUUUUCGGUUCGGCCGGACGAAACACAGGUGCUGCAUGGCUGUCGUCAGCUCGUGUCGUGAGAUGUUGGGUUAAGUCCCGCAACGAGCGCAACCCUCACUUUUAGUUGCCAUCAUUAAGUUGGGCACUCUGAAAGAACUGCCAGUGAUAAGCUGGAGGAAGGUGGGGAUGACGUCAAGUCCUCAUGGCCCUUACGUGUUGGGCUACACACGUGCUACAAUGGUAUCUACAACAGGAAGCAAAACGGCGACGUUAAGCAAAUCCCUAAAAGAUACCUCAGUUCGGAUUGCACUCUGCAACUCGAGUGCAUGAAGCUGGAAUUACUAGUAAUCGUGGAUCAGCGUGCCACGGUGAAUGCGUUCCCGGGUCUUGUACACACCGCCCGUCACACCAUGGGAGUUGGUUCUACCUUAAGGCAAGGUUUAAUACCCUUGACCACGGUAUAGUCAGCGACUGGGGUGAAGUCGUAACAAGGUAGCCGUAGGGGAACCUGCGGCUGGAUUACCUCCUUU
rnacentral:rRNA from 1 species